rnacentral:piRNA from 1 species
AGGAAACAUUUGCUUUUCUUAAAGACCUA